GUUUAAAUUGUUAUUGAUUUUUUGUGUGUAUUUUAUUUGUUAAAAAUAUUUAUAUUUUAUUAUUUACUUAGAAAAAAUUUUUUUUAUUAUAGUUGAUUAGUACUGUGAGGGAAUUAACUUAAACGUUUAAAAGAAGAUUUUAUUUUGUACCUUGUGCAUCAGGGUUGAUUUAUUAAUAAGUUUGUAUUAAUUUUUCUCGAAAUUAAAAGAGCUAAUUAAGUAUGUAUUUUAUUGUUUAAUAACUAUUUAUAAUAUUUAAUUAGAUGUGAAAUGUUAUUCGUUUUUAAUUAUAUCUAGUUUCUUAAGAAAAAAGUUUAAUUUUAUGUUUAGUGUUGAAUUUUUUUAUAUUUUAAAUUUAUUUUUGCUUUACUUUUAUUUUUAAGGGGAUAAGCUUUUAAAAAAAAACUUAUAAUAGUAUUGGUAUUUAAAUAAUUUAUAGGAUUAAAAUUUUUCAUAGAUUUAAGAAUGUUAUAAUUUAUUAUUUGAGAUUUUUAUUUAUAUUUUUGUUUAAGUUUUUUAUUAAGAUUUUGUAUGUAAUGUUUUUUUAUAAUAAAUAAUGAUUAAAUUAGUAUAGAUAAUUGUUUAAAGAUUUUUUUUUUGAGGUAAAUCUAAGGAACUCGGCAAAAGUGCUUUUCACCUGUUUACUAAAAACAUGUCCUUUUGAUUAUAAUUUAAGGUUUAACCUGCCCACUGAAGUUUAAAUGGCCGCGGUAUUUUGACCGUGCAAAGGUAGCAUAAUCAUUAGUUUUUUAAUUGAAAGCUGGAAUGAAUGGUUGGAUGAGAAAGCGUCUGUCUCAGAUUUAUUUUUUAGAAAUUUAUUUUUAAGUUAAAAAGCUUAAAUGGUAUUAAAAGACGAGAAGACCCUAUAGAAUUUUAUAUAUUUUACUUAUUUUUUUUGGUUUUGUUUUAUUUUUAUUGUAAUUAUAUAUUUUGUUGGGGUGACAGAAAAAUUUGAUUAACUUUUUCUUUCUUUUUUCAUGUAUUAUUGUUUAAUUGAUCCAAAUUUUUUGAUUAUAAGAAUAAAUUACCUUAGGGAUAACAGCGUAAUUUCCUUAAAGAGUUCUAAUCGAAAAGGAAGAUUGCGACCUCGAUGUUGGAUUAAAGUUUAUUUUUGGUGCAGAAGCUUUAAUAUUAGGUCUGUUCGACCUUUAAAACUUUACAUGAUCUGAGUUUAAACCGGUGUGAGCCAGGUUGGUUUCUAUCUUUAAUUUAUUAAAAUAUCUUAGUACGAAAGGACCAGAUAUUUAAUUAAUAAUUUUUAUAUUGAAUACUACU
rnacentral:rRNA from 1 species